GACGAACGCUGGCGGCGUGCUUAACACAUGCAAGUCGAACGGAAAGGCCCUGCUUUUGUGGGGUGCUCGAGUGGCGAACGGGUGAGUAACACGUGAGUAACCUGCCCUUGACUUUGGGAUAACUUCAGGAAACUGGGGCUAAUACCGGAUAGGAGCUCCUGCUGCAUGGUGGGGGUUGGAAAGUUUCGGCGGUUGGGGAUGGACUCGCGGCUUAUCAGCUUGUUGGUGGGGUAGUGGCUUACCAAGGCUUUGACGGGUAGCCGGCCUGAGAGGGUGACCGGCCACAUUGGGACUGAGAUACGGCCCAGACUCCUACGGGAGGCAGCAGUGGGGAAUAUUGCACAAUGGGCGGAAGCCUGAUGCAGCAACGCCGCGUGCGGGAUGACGGCCUUCGGGUUGUAAACCGCUUUCGCCUGUGACGAAGCGUGAGUGACGGUAAUGGGUAAAGAAGCACCGGCUAACUACGUGCCAGCAGCCGCGGUGAUACGUAGGGUGCGAGCGUUGUCCGGAUUUAUUGGGCGUAAAGGGCUCGUAGGUGGUUGAUCGCGUCGGAAGUGUAAUCUUGGGGCUUAACCCUGAGCGUGCUUUCGAUACGGGUUGACUUGAGGAAGGUAGGGGAGAAUGGAAUUCCUGGUGGAGCGGUGGAAUGCGCAGAUAUCAGGAGGAACACCAGUGGCGAAGGCGGUUCUCUGGGCCUUUCCUGACGCUGAGGAGCGAAAGCGUGGGGAGCGAACAGGCUUAGAUACCCUGGUAGUCCACGCUGUAAACGGUGGGUACUAAGUGUGGGGUCCAUUCCACGGGUUCCGUGCCGUAGCUAACGCUUUAAGUACCCCGCCUGGGGAGUACGGCCGCAAGGCUAAAACUCAAAGGAAUUGACGGGGCCCCGCACAAGCGGCGGAGCAUGCGGAUUAAUUCGAUGCAACGCGUAGAACCUUACCUGGGUUUGACAUGGAUCGGGAGCGCUCAGAGAUGGGUGUGCCUCUUUUGGGGUCGGUUCACAGGUGGUGCAUGGCUGUCGUCAGCUCGUGUCGUGAGAUGUUGGGUUAAGUCCCGCAACGAGCGCAACCCUUGUUCACUGUUGCCAGCACGUUAUGGUGGGGACUCAGUGGAGACCGCCGGGGUCAACUCGGAGGAAGGUGGGGAUGACGUCAAGUCAUCAUGCCCCUUAUGUCCAGGGCUUCACGCAUGCUACAAUGGCUGGUACAGAGAGUGGCGAGCCUGUGAGGGUGAGCGAAUCUCGGAAAGCCGGUCUCAGUUCGGAUUGGGGUCUGCAACUCGACCUCAUGAAGUCGGAGUCGCUAGUAAUCGCAGAUCAGCAACGCUGCGGUGAAUACGUUCCCGGG
rnacentral:rRNA from 1 species